GACGAACGCUGGCGGCGUGCUUAACACAUGCAAGUCGAACGGAAAGGCCUUUUCGGAGGUACUCGAGUGGCGAACGGGUGAGUAACACGUGGGUGAUCUGCCCCGCACUCUGGGAUAAGCCUGGGAAACUGGGUCUAAUACCGGAUAGGACCGCACUUUAGUGUGUGUGGUGGAAAGUUUUUUCGGUGUAGGAUGAGCCCGCGGCCUAUCAGCUUGUUGGUGGGGUAAUGGCCUACCAAGGCGGCGACGGGUAGCCGGACUGAGAGGUUGGUCGGCCACAUUGGGACUGAGAUACGGCCCAGACUCCUACGGGAGGCAGCAGUGGGGAAUAUUGCACAAUGGGCGCAAGCCUGAUGCAGCGACGCCGCGUGGGGGAUGACGGCCUUCGGGUUGUAAACUCCUUUCGCCAGGGACGAAGCGUUUUGUGACGGUACCUGGAGAAGAAGCACCGGCUAACUACGUG
rnacentral:rRNA from 1 species